AGAAAACCUGCAUGAGCAUGCAUGCAGAUGUUUGCCUCACAAUGCCACAGCAAAUGUCACAACAGAGAAUGCAUCCAACACACUAUGUAACAGAGAAGGAACUGUGAACAGAAAUUCCAACAAAGUCUGAAAUCUUCAGAUACUGAUCUUAAGCUGAUUUCAGAUUGUUGAUUUUUUCCUUUUUUCCUAUGCUGUGUUCCCUUGAUGAGUCAUCAUUCACUCAUCAACCCUCCUCUCUGUUGCACUAUGUUGUGCCAUAUGCCUUGCUCGAGUGAAACAGCAGAACUGCUGCUUCCCACCCAGAAAAGCACAUCAAUAUCUCAGCAUCAACAUGGAAGGCACUGUACAACAGAAAAUUCUCAGUUGCUUGAAGAAGACUUACGAAGAUCAAAGGGAGCACCAGAAGUAUUUCUGUGUAGGAUCAUUUGAUGCUAACCAUGCCUUUUUUUUUUUUUAAAUCUCACCAAAAAAAGCAAGAGAUGAGGGAACAGAAAAGUAUAAAGACACAAGCAACACAGCAGUGUCAGGAGAGAUUGAGUCAGCUGGUCCUGAGCACGCCAAUGCAAACAAGAGAGGAGGCUGGGGAGCAGACAGAGCUUCUAAACAUCACAGAGAGAGCAGCACAGUUUGAUCUGCAGAUCAAUGUGUGGACCUGGGCAGCAGCUUGCUAAAACGGAUGAACAGCUUGAACGGAUCCAUUUCAUUUUCUCCCUCAUCACCCUCUCUAUUAAAUGUAAGCUAUGAGACAACUUGUUUCUGAGAAAGA